rnacentral:misc_RNA from 1 species
AAAUUUCCCACGUUAUUUUCGAACAGGGGUACCUAAAAAUGAUCUCAACUGUAAGAUCAAUCACGUGGAAUUGUGGGGCUUAAUCCAAGUAUAAAUUAGGUACUUUUCAACAAAUAUCCAUUUAAACACAUCAACUUUUUACGUUGAUAAUAUUCAUAUGGAUGAUAUAGGUAUAGAUAAAAUCCUAACAGAAGUAUUUAUUUGUAACGUGUCUAAUGUAGAACAUGGUUGAAAACACUCAAUGAAAGACUUAUUUCUCACUUCAAAUCUAUAACAUAGUUAAUCAGUCACAAUACACACUGUUAACUACAU